UGGGCCUCAUUCAAUCAGUUGAAUUCUUCAAGAGAGAAAAACUGAAGUCCCUUAGAAGGAAAGAGUUCUGCCUUCAGACUGUCUUUGAACUUAAGACUGUAGCGUCGACUCCUGCCGGAAUUUCCAGCCUGCUGGCCAGCUCUGCAGAUUCACACUUGCCAGCCUCCACAAUCCAGGAAGGCAGCCAUCUGUGAGCCAGAAAGUGAGCCCUCACCUGAUGGCCAAGCCUGCUGAUGCUUUGGUUUUGGACUUUCCAGCCUCCAGAAUGGCAGCUGAGGCGGAGGAACCCUAAGGGCUCAUUGAGAUCAUGGAUUUGCCCUUCUAUGCAUUGAUGGAGCACCUGCUGCCCACAGCGUCUGUAUUUGGUGCUGGGAUGCUGAGGACACUGAGAUCUUCAAACAGAGGCUGCCACUCUAAGCAAACAGAUCCCGAGCCCUGGACUCUGAAGCUUGGGCCCAGUUCUCCUUUUCUCCGGGUUUCAGAUCCCACUGUGAAGUGAGGGGGCCCUUCUGAUUCAGGACCCGGGGAAGCCAGGGGCAUGAGCAUCGGUGCCUCUUCUCUAUUUCAAGGACCCUUCUGGGUGUAAAGUUCUCUGAGAUGCCUUACAUGGAUUCCCACCACUGCAAGAUAACCAUCGUAUGUAAAGUGUUAUGACCAGCAGAGCGUAAUUGAAGUGCAUUCCAGAGGGAAAGACAGCGGCUCAGAUUCUAUUGAAAGAAACAUGACAUAAUGAUACCACAGCAAAAGCCAAUCUUGCUCCUUUUUAAAAAAUUAAAAACAAAACAAAA
rnacentral:lncRNA from 1 species